UACAGAGGUCCCAAGCGUUGUUCGGAUUCACUGGGCGUAAAGGGUGCGUAGGCGGUCGGGUAAGUCUGAUGUGAAAUCUCACAGCUUAACUGUGAAACUGCAUUGGAUACUAUCCGGCUCGAGGAAUGGAGGGGAGACUGGAAUACUUGGUGUAGCAGUGAAAUGCGUAGAUAUCAAGUGGAACACCAGUGGCGAAGGCGAGUCUCUGGACAUUUCCUGACACUGAGGCACGAAAGCCAGGGGAGCGAACGGG
rnacentral:rRNA from 1 species